rnacentral:rRNA from 1 species
GAUCAUGCUCAGGACGAACGCUGGCGGCGUGCUUAACACAUGCAAGUCGAACGAGAAUCACUGGAAGGAGUUUUCGGACAACGGAAGGUGAGGACAGUGGCGGACGGGUGAGUAACGCGUGAGGAACCUGCCUUUCAGAGGGGGACAACAGUUGGAAACGACUGCUAAUACCGCAUGACACAUAGAGAUCGCAUGGUUUUUAUGUCAAAGAUUUAUCGCUGAAAGAUGGCCUCGCGU